GACGAACGCUGGCGGCGUGCUUAACACAUGCAAGUCGAACGAAGAGCGAUGGAAGCUUGCUUCUAUCAAUCUUAGUGGCGAACGGGUGAGUAACGCGUAAUCAACCUGCCCUUCAGAGGGGGACAACAGUUGGAAACGACUGCUAAUACCGCAUACGAUCUAACCUCGGCAUCGAGGAUAGAUGAAAGGUGGCCUCUACAUGUAAGCUAUCACUGAAGGAGGGGAUUGCGUCUGAUUAGCUAGUUGGAGGGGUAACGGCCCACCAAGGCGAUGAUCAGUAGCCGGUCUGAGGGGAUGAACGGCCACAUUGGGACUGAGACACGGCCCAGACUCCUACGGGAGGCAGCAGUGGGGAAUCUUCCGCAAUGGACGAAAGUCUGACGGAGCAACGCCGCGUGAGUGAUGACGGCCUUCGGGUUGUAAAGCUCUGUUAAUCGGGACGAAAGGCCUUCUUGCGAAUAGUGAGAAGGAUUGACGGUACCGGAAUAGAAAGCCACGGCUAACUACGUG
rnacentral:rRNA from 1 species